UGUAAAGAUAAAAGUUGUACGUACUCUAGUCUUGCUUUAGCCCUUCAAGCCACAAUGGUGCACCUAACACUUUUAAAAAUGUGCAUCAUCCUUGCAACCCGGAAUGACAUAUAAUUUAGUUAAAAUGGACUUGCAUUUAAAUUUACAGGAUAGAAUAUUCAAAACUAUUGUUAUACCCUAAAAUAAAAAUAUUAAGAAAAAAACUUGAAACUCCUUGAAAAGAUAAAUUUUAUGCAGACUCAAAAUAAAUGGAAGAAGACUAGAUUAGGGAUGUCAAUG
rnacentral:lncRNA from 1 species